rnacentral:rRNA from 1 species
CGAACGGUGAAGCAGAGCUUGCUCUGUGGAUCAGUGGCGAACGGGUGAGUAACACGUGAGCAAUCUGCCCCUGACUCUGGGAUAAGCGCUGGAAACGGCGUCUAAUACCGGAUACGAGCUGCGAAGGCAUCUUCAGCAGCUGGAAAGAAUUUCGGUCAGGGAUGAGCUCGCGGCCUAUCAGCUUGUUGGUGAGGUAACGGCUCACCAAGGCGUCGACGGGUAGCCGGCCUGAGAGGGUGACCGGCCACACUGGGACUGAGACACGGCCCAGACUCCUACGGGAGGCAGCAGUGGGGAAUAUUGCACAAUGGGCGAAAGCCUGAUGCAGCAACGCCGCGUGAGGGACGACGGCCUUCGGGUUGUAAACCUCUUUUAGCAGGAAAGAAGCGAAAGUGACGGUACCUGCAGAAAAAGCGCCGGCUAACUACGUGCCAGCAGCCGCGGUAAUACGUAGGGCGCAAGCGUUAUCCGGAAUUAUUGGGCGUAAAGAGCUCGUAGGCGGUCUGUCGCGUCUGCUGUGAAAACCCGAGGCUCAACCUCGGGCCUGCAGUGGGUACGGGCAGACUAGAGUGCGGUAGGGGAGAUUGGAAUUCCUGGUGUAGCGGUGGAAUGCGCAGAUAUCAGGAGGAACACCGAUGGCGAAGGCAGAUCUCUGGGCCG